rnacentral:tRNA from 1 species
AAUACUAGAUGCCUGAUUAAAGGGUUAUUUUGAUAGAAUAAAUUAUGUAUUUUUAAUACUCUUAUUA